GUAGUCGUCGUCGUCGGUGCAUUGUUCGCCGACUCCGACUCCAGGUACCCAAAAUUUUGUCCGACUCCGCAGCACUGGCGGGAUGGUCCAAACUAUUUGGCCAAAUGGUGGAGUUUUAAAUGGAUCCAGCAUGUCACCCAGUCAGAGGCUAUAUGCCCAGCAGAGAGCCUGAACACCCACCCUGCAGCUACCUAAUGCAAACCAGAAGAGAGAUGGAACCCCGAUAUGGACACUUGUGAUAAUGUUCUGAGAAUCGCCCGUACAAUCAGCUCACCAAUCUACACGCGCCUAACUGAAAGAGCCUCGUGACUAGCAGUAUCCUGUUCAGUGGAGAUCACACAGAUGAGAUGUAGCUGAGCUGAAU